rnacentral:rRNA from 1 species
AGUGAACGCUGGCGGCGUGCUUAACACAUGCAAGUCGAGCGGAAAGGCCACUUCGGUGGUACUCGAGCGGCGGACGGCUGAGUAACGCGUAUGAACGUACCCCAAAGUGAGGGAUAAUUCCGAGAAAUCGGGACUAAUACCGCAUGUGCUCGAAGGAAUAAAGCUUUAUGCGCUUUGGGAACGGCCUGCGUAAGAUUAGCUUGUUGGUGAGGUAAUGGCUCACCAAGGCGACGAUCUUUAGCUGGUCUGAGAGGAUGAUCAGCCAGACUGGGACUGAGACACGGCCCAGACUCCUACGGGAGGCAGCAGUAGGGAAUUUUCCACAAUGGGCGAAAGCCUGAUGGAGCAACGCCGCGUGCAGGAUGAAGGCCUUCGGGUUGUAAACUGCUUUUAUCUGUGAUGAUUUUGACAGUAGCAGAUGAAUAAGGAUCGGCUAACUCCGUGCCAGCAGCCGCGGUAACAC